rnacentral:rRNA from 1 species
UACGGGGGGGGCAAGCGUUGUUCGGAAUUACUGGGCGUAAAGGGCGCGUAGGCGGUCUGCUAAGUUGGAUGUGAAAACUCUGGGCUUAACCCAGAGCCUGCAUUCAAAACUGACAGGCUAGAGUUCUGGAGGGGGAAGCGGAAUUCCUGGUGUAGCGGUGAAAUGCGUAGAUAUCAGGAGGAACACCGGUGGCGAAGGCGGCUUCCUGGACAGAAACUGACGCUGAGACGCGAAAGCGUGGGGAGCAAACAGG